rnacentral:tRNA from 1 species
ACCCGGCUGGCUCAGUCAGUAGAGCAUGAGACUCUUGAUCUUGGGGUUGUGAGUUCGAGCCCCAUGUUGGGUG